CGUGUAGGCGGUUUGUUAAGUCUGAUGUGAAAGCCCCGGGCUCAACCUGGGAAGUGCAUUGGAAACUGGCAGACUUGAAUACGGGAGAGGGUAGUGGAAUUCCUAGUGUAGGAGUGAAAUCCGUAGAUAUUAGGAGGAACACCGGUGGCGAAGGCGGCUGCCUGGACCGAUAUUGACGCUGAGACGCGAAAGCGUGGGGAGCAAACAGGAUUAGAUACCCUGGUAGUCCACGCCGUAAACGAUGAGUACUAGGUGUUGCGGGUAUUGACCCCUGCAGUGCCGCAGCUAACGCAUUAAGUACUCCGCCUGGGAAGUACGGCGCAAGGCUAAA
rnacentral:rRNA from 1 species